AAGCCCUUCGGGGUGGAUUAGUGGCGAACGGGUGAGUAACACGUGGGCAAUCUGCCCUUCACUCUGGGACAAGCCCUGGAAACGGGGUCUAAUACCGGAUAUCACUGCCACUCGCAUGGGUGGUGGUUGAAAGCUCCGGCGGUGAAGGAUGAGCCCGCGGCCUAUCAGCUUGUUGGUGAGGUAAUGGCUCACCAAGGCGACGACGGGUAGCCGGCCUGAGAGGGCGACCGGCCACACUGGGACUGAGACACGGCCCAGACUCCUACGGGAGGCAGCAGUGGGGAAUAUUGCACAAUGGGCGCAAGCCUGAUGCAGCGACGCCGCGUGAGGGAUGACGGCCUUCGGG
rnacentral:rRNA from 1 species